AGUGAACGCUGGCGGUAGGCCUAACACAUGCGAGUCGAACGGCAGCACAGGAGAGCUUGCUCUCUGGGUGGCGAGCGGCGGACGGGUGAGGAAUACAUCGGAAUCUACUCUGUCGUGGGGGAUAACGUAGGGAAACUUACGCUAAUACCGCAUACGACCUACGGGUGAAAGCAGGGGAUCUUCGGACCUUGCGCGAUUGAAUGAGCCGAUGUCGGAUUAGCUAGUUGGCGGGGUAAAGGCCCACCAAGGCGACGAUCCGUAGCUGGUCUGAGAGGAUGAUCAGCCACACUGGAACGGAGACACGGGCCAGACUCCGACGGGAGGCAGCAGUGGGGAAUAUUGGACAAUGGGCGCAAGCCUGAUCCAGCCAUACCGCGUGGGUGAAGAAGGCCUUCGGGUUGUAAAGCCCUUUUGUUGGGAAAGAAAUCCAGCUGGCUAAUACCCGGUUGGGAUGACGGUACCAAAGAAUAAGCACCGGCUAACUUCGUGCCAGCAGCAGCCGUAA
rnacentral:rRNA from 1 species